AAAGGAUGGCUCUAUAAUACUAUAAUUGAUGCUUUUUUAUUUAAAAUAUUAAACAGUUAUGAAGAUUUUGCCUUUGUUAAGUCUAAUUUACAAAUUCCUAAACCAAAUUUUUGUAUUAAAGAUCCAUUACUAACAAGAUUGAAAUCAGCGAAAUUAUUUUUUAUCCCUGCAAAUUUAAAUUGUCAUUGGAUAUUAAUAAUAGUAAAUAUUCCAGAUAUGGUUUUUGAAUUUUAUGAUCCACAAAAUAAAUCAUGUGGGCAAGAGUAUCAAAUUUUAAUUCAUACAUGGUGUGAGGUUUUAGCUAAAAUAUUUGCUACUAGCACUAAAUGGAAAAUAAUUUGUCCUUCACAUAUUUUGCAAACUGAUAAUAUGAGCUGUGGUGUUUUAGUAUGCUACUAUGCUUAUCAGAGGAUUAAAAAUCAAAGUUUAAAUACGCCAGUUAAUAUAACUGAAUUCCGGAAAUUGAUAUACAAGCAUAUAAUUUUAAGUGAUUGAUAUAUUUAAAGAAAUUUAAAUUAAGAAAUGUUUUUCAGGACAGCAUUCCAUUCCUUUGGUGAUGCUUGAAAAAUAUAAAGUAUAAUGGACAAAUAUUUUGCAAUUCAUCUGUUGCCAUACAGUUUCUAUAAAAAAACUUUUUUUUUUUAGUUUGCUUUAUUUUGUAAUGAUGUUAUAUGGCCAAUAAACAAAUAAAAAUGCUUAUGUUUGUAUGUAACUUGGUAGUAUAAGAGAAAAUUGUUAAAGUAGGCAACAAUGAACCCUUUUGGCCAGGGUGAUACCCCCAAUUGUGGAUAAUAGAGAAUAGUUCAUUUUAUGUUAACAAUGCAUUCUCGGGGACCUACAUGCCAAAAUUUUCUCUUAUUUUUAAAGAGGAAUAAGAGAAUUUGUACUUAACACUUCAUCCCAUUGACUGUGAAGGAUUUCCUCAGGAAUGAUUAGUGGUUCUGCACCAAUUUUCAUGGCCAAUGGGAUAGUAUGCAAUAAACGAUUGGCAGGAAUCUGGUAUGUAUUUAAAAGUCAAGAGCAAGCUCUGCCAGGAGAAUUUUCUGAAACUGAAACUCAUAAAUUUUUGAGUAAUAUGGUUGAAUAAUAAUAUUUAUGCUCUAGUCAAGGAAUUUUAUCUGAUAUGUCUUUAUUUUCAGAAAUAAAAGAUGAAUAAAGUCUGGGGAAAAAAUUA